UCGCCAGAAUAAUGUGAAACUGCUACGUUUUGGUUGCUAUGAACAAUAUUUUGAGUUAGUUUCUGCAUAAAAAUAAGGUUUGAUUACAUUUUUAGCGAGAAAUAUAUAUUCUAUUUUCAUAAUAUUCACUCAGUGAAUGUCAACCCGUUCUCACUCCUGACCGUUCUCACGCUGAAGAAGUCUCCUUCAGAACACAUCGCGAUAUUUGGCAUCAGUUCGCGUGUGCUGGAUGUUGGUAAGUAGUCGUAAAUACGCUGUUCUAAUGUUUGAUAUAAUGUCUUUUCUGUUUGCAGAUAUUAAUCAGAUUAACGUUAGCUCCCUCAUGUUCAGUCACUGCAUUAUAUCUGUCACCUCCGCUAAGGUUUUGCUUUUCAUUGUUUUCUAUAUUAAAUACUAAACUAGGGUGAUUAAACACUGUCACGUGACGUGCAAUAUAUUGCACAAUAUAUAUAACAUAUUCAUAUCAGGUUCAAAGUAGUACAAGUGUAGUUUCAAAAUGGUAUUUGUUGUAGAAGCACGGUAAAAAACAACACUUACCAUGGUUUUUACCACAGUAUUGGUAGUUUUAAUGUGAUUUUUGUUGUAAAUACAGAGUAACCACAACACUUAUCAUGCUUUUAAUGCCUAAUAAUGUUAAAUCCAAAAACUGUAAGGUCAAUAAGAACUUCUUUCCUAUAUAUAUUUAUAUAUAAACCUAUAUAUUAUAAAUAAUGAUAUUUUCUUUUCUCUUGUUUUAGCUGAAAAGACAAAAAGGGCCUUUCGGAAAUGGAUGAAGGAGACAGAAAGCUGCAAAGGCAAAUAAUUGCAAUGAAGGAAAUCCUACGGUUAUGUAUGAACUCACAACAUCAUCAAGUGCUGUGCUGGGCACAUUGGGUAACAAGUGUCCUCCAACGUAUCCAAUCUGUGACCACAUUCUCCACAUCUUCCCAUGGGACACCGACAUUCUUCAGGCCUUCGUUUCCAUGUCUUCCCCUGCAUUCUCCUGGUGGUGUCCACUUCAUAUCUGUCUUUGGGUGUUGUUGUUUGGUCAUGCUUAGGGUGUGUCCGGGGAGGUGCACCCUUCACUCUGUCACAGUUUUUAAAAGUCUUCACGUGGACUCCUCCUUAUGAUCUCCUUGAAACGUGCAGAACCAAUAUUGAAAAUAGUAAUUUAUCUUUUUCCAUAUUCUUGCCUUUAUCAAAGAAGCACCAGUGCUCAUCCGGAGUUUUGGUAAAAGUUCUAGUAAUGCUGCGACUAUAGUCAAAUAUGUAUUUCUGCAUGUGUGUAUAGCAGGUGUUUGUCCGAACAAUUGAAGUUAGUGAGAGUUUUCAGGAAAACCCUCUGAGAACAAUCAAUAUUUAUUUAAUUCUGUUUGGUGCUGAUAUAGAGUAUUACAGAAAUGACACAUUGACAUUCUGGACAUUAUUCUGUGAGUUUGUUACCUCUUCAUUUAGAUGGACUUGAAAAUGUCUUGCAUUUUGUUUCAUUAAACCUUUUAUUACAGUGUCACUAUAGUAAAUGUCCACCUUAACUACAUCUAUGGUAUCAUUAUAUCAGUACCUGGAUAAUGUAAAUGUAACAUACCCAUGAAUGUAUUUUAUAGAAGCAUUUUAUUGCUGAAAAUAUUUAACAUUUAUAAAAUGCAUUAACUAUU